UACAGAGGUCUCAAGCGUUGUUCGGAAUCACUGGGCGUAAAGCGUAUGUAGGCUGUACGGUAAGUCAGAUGUGAAAGCCCAGGGCUCAACCCUGGAACUGCAUCCGAUACUGCCAUACUAGAGUAGUAGAGGGGUAUAUGGAAUUCACGGUGUAGCAGUGAAAUGCGUAGAUAUCGUGAGGAACACUGGCGGCGAAGGCGAUAUACUGGAUACUUACUGACGCUGAGAUACGAAGGCUAGGGUAGCGAAAGGG
rnacentral:rRNA from 1 species